CUUUGGAGAGCUGUGGAAAUGGGUCUGAACUCACAUGCUGCCUAUUUCUUUGCCCUAUGGACCAGCCACCUGUUUCUCCUGACAGCUGGGCACUUGAGGGUGAAUCCUAGAAUUAUUACAGCUCCAAAAGGGGAGAGACGCUUUCUGCUGGAAAAGCAUGAGACUCUCACAACUCUCUACCAUGAGGAGGGGAAUUCCUCUCUCUUGGUGGGAGCGGAGGGAAAGCUCUACUACUUCGACUUUGAGCGCUUCAGUAACCACACGGAGGACUUCCCUGAACAGGAUUCAGAAG
rnacentral:lncRNA from 1 species